rnacentral:lncRNA from 1 species
AUAUGCUCAAAUAUUAGGUUGAUAACUCAAAGACACAAAUAUAGUAUUCAAUAAAUAACAUCUCGUCUCGUCCGAUCUUUGAUAAAGUUAAAGACUUAUGGAAAAAAGAAGAAGAAGAUAUAGAUUCAAUGUACUGUGAUGUUUGUUGAGAGUCUUGAUUCAUGCAAAUAUUUGGCUAUUGUAUAGGGCAGAAAUCGGGGCAACCUGAUUUUGUGAGCUCGAGGGUCAUUUCGAGAGCGAGAUCGGAAUUGACCAGAAGCGAGCCUGAUGAGAGGCUUCGAAGAUCAAAAUGUCGGACGAACAUCAAGGCCGAACGUGACCGAUCUCGAGAUAAUACCGUUAUGAGUUUGUAAAUGAGCAAGAUUCCCGCGACGUCCCCAGCCCAAUCCUUUCUAUUUUUUUGACUAACACUUGCAGGUUUUCGACAAGGAUCGACACGAAGCUUUGGACCUUAAAGCACGCGUUGCACUCUUUUUCCUUAAACCGGUUUUUGUCCCAAAUGGAUUUUUCCAGUGAGGUUUUUAGCGAGGCAACCAUUGUCGUGUUAAUUUAGAGCAAUUCAACGAUAUCCGAGGUUCCCUACAUUAAUCCUCGAGUACUGAAGGGCAUUGCCCUCGAAUGUCCACUUUGUUGCAAGGAAAUCACUUCUGACAUCGGGUCUCCAUGAGAAAACUUUGUAAUGGUCCAAACGCUCAGAUGAACCAUGUCCGUAUAGAAUAGUCGAGCCCCAAUGAAAAAACAUGUACGCAUGUAUCAAUUAUCC